UACGAAGGGGGCUAGCGUUGUUCGGAAUCACUGGGCGUAAAGCGCACGUAGGCGGCUUGUUAAGUCAGAGGUGAAAGCCUGGAGCUCAACUCCAGAACUGCCUUUGAUACUGGCAAGCUCGAGGAUAGCAGAGGUUGGUGGAACUCCGAGUGUAGAGGUGAAAUUCGUAGAUAUUCGGAAGAACACCAGUGGCGAAGGCGGCCAACUGGGCUAUUACUGACGCUGCGGUGCGAAAGCGUGGGGAGCAAACAGG
rnacentral:rRNA from 1 species